UACGGAGGGUGCGAGCGUUGUUCGGAUUCACUGGGCGUAAAGGGUGCGUAGGUGGCUUGAAAAGUUUGAUGUGAAAGCUCAGGGCUUAACCCUGAAAUGGCAUUGAAUACUGUCGAGCUGGAGGUUUGGAGGGGGGACUGGAAUUCUUGGUGUAGCAGUGAAAUGCGCAGAUAUCAGGAGGAACACCGAUGGCGAAGGCAGCUCGCUGGGACGGUACUGACGCUGAGACGCGAAAGCGUGGGGAGCAAACAGG
rnacentral:rRNA from 1 species